UACAAUUUGGCAGAUUAAUGCGCACGAUUUAGGGUUGUGAUAUAACACAUGUUAGUUGUA
rnacentral:tRNA from 1 species